rnacentral:miRNA from 1 species
AUCAUAUAGGUUGAUCCUCGU